GUCUCUGUGGCGCAAUCGGUCAGCGCAUCUGGCUGUUAACCGGAAGGAUGGUGGUUCGAGCCCACCCGGGGACA